CCAGCCGCUAUAUUAUUCUAAACUUUUUGAUUUAUAAAAUAGUAUAUCUAAACUGAUUAUCAUAACAUCAAAUCCUGAUUCCUGCAUCAUCCUUCUCUUUGAAUCUAAAUUGAUGACCAAGAGUACGUGCUUUGCAAUGGGUGAUAGUGACAAUCUGUCAUCAUCGUUUUCAGUGCAGCUUGGUGGUACUUGUUGUCCCGAGUCGGUAACAAUAUCAUCAUAUGGCAGACCAACAUCUAGAAUGGUCUUUGACGGUGGUACUAUCUUAAAUUGUGGUGUGGUGUUAUAUCGAAGAUACACAUAUGUGUUUCAUGUGGUUUAUACUACUUUCAUAAUAACUUAAAUAAUCUUUAAGCAAGGUUUGGUCGGUCAAACAUGUUGGAUGGUGGUUUUGGGAAGAUGUAUAAUAGAUUUGGGAAGGUGUACAAAUGUAAAACCUAACCAAUAUUACAAACCAAAACCUUUGAACCGUUAGACUUCUUUAGCUAGCAAGGAGCCUACUUAUUUUCAAACAUUUAAAGAUGAAAUAUCUCUUUAAUAUAUGCCCCAUUGUUGUUUGACCUAGAAAACCUUACAAACCAAUUAAUUUCAAAAAACCGGGUAGUUAAGAUUGGAAAAAGAGGAUUUGGAAAAGUUUAUAAGGAUAUUUGAUCGAGUAGAUUAUAGAUUUGAAAAUGUAUUACAACAAUGAUAUUUGCGUUAAACGGAUAUUUUAGGGUGAUGCAACGAUUAUUUUAUGGUUUAGACUACCUUCAUACUAUGUCAAUGCUCUAUGAAAAAUCUGAUGUGAAGAGCUCGAGUUUUGGAUAAGAGUCGAGCAGUUAAGAUUUUGCAUUUUGGGUUGUCCGAAAUAAGCUUUAAAUCAUUGAAAUGGUAUUGUACUAUUGUUCAUCUCUUUUUAUAUACACAUUGUACUUGCUAAAAGGAAGAUUCACAAGUAUUGCAGAUUUGUAUGUGUGUUUAGAUCUCAUUUUGUUGUUUAGGUUUUUGUUUGUACCUAAUGGAUCUCUUUUGUUUGACACUUCUUUAAAAAGAUAAUUGUAGUUUGUUUGGUUGAUUCAA